GACGUAGGGCGCGAGCGUUGUCCGGAAUUAUUGGGCGUAAAGAGCUCGUAGGCGGUUUGUCGCGUCUGCCGUGAAAGUCCGGGGCUCAACUCCGGAUCUGCGGUGGGUACGGGCAGACUAGAGUGAUGUAGGGGAGACUGGAAUUCCUGGUGUAGCGGUGAAAUGCGCAGAUAUCAGGAGGAACACCGGUGGCGAAGGCGGGUCUCUGGGCCGUAACUGACGCUGAGGAGCGAAAGCAUGGGGAGCGAACAGG
rnacentral:rRNA from 1 species